rnacentral:rRNA from 1 species
CAUCUCCUUGCCUGGAACUGUCGAGAAUUGGGGUUGGACUCGACAGUGGGCGAACUUCGAGACCUCAUUCGGUCUCACAACCCAGCGGUGGUUUUCCUUUCUGAAACAAAAAAAUCAUCUAGAGCUAUGGAACGGUUGAAAUGGAGCUUGGGGUUCACUAGUGGAGUUGCUGUGAGUUGCAAUGGAAGAAGUGGGGGCUUGGCCUUGUGGUGGAGGGAUCAUAUUCAGGUUACGGUGAGGCCGUGGUGCCAAUAUUUCCUUGAUGCCGAGGUGGCUUGGGAGGGUAAGCCCUAUAGAAUCACUGGAUUCUAUGGAGAACCCAAAACUGAACUGCGCAAAAAAUUGUGGGAUGCUAUUCGUUUUCUUCGAGCCCAAGAUAAUCUACCCUGGCUAUGUGUCGGUGACUUUAACGAGGCCCUCUUCCGCAUGGAUCAAGUGGGGGUAAUCCAAGGCCUUUCAUUCAAAUGGAGGAUUUCCGAGAUUGCCUCGCCGACUGCGGCCUGGCUGAUCUUGGUUUCACCGGGUACCCUUCACAUGGGAUAA